UCCCUGGUGGUCCAGUGGUUAAAACUCUGUGCUCCCAGUGCAGGGGGCCUGGGUUCGAUCCUAGUCAAGGAA
rnacentral:tRNA from 1 species